GAAGCCAUAAUUGAGUCCAACGCAUUUCCUAAAGUGGAUUUUCUGUUUGGUGUCUGCUUUUCAUUCUGCAGUUGGCGAUGAACCAAGUACAACUUAGACUCAGGUGCUCAUGGCUGAAGGCCUGGAGAUCUUGGGCAUUAUGAAAAGUCUUAAUCAAUGUUUGCUUGAUGAAGGUCAACUUGAUUGCGAAGACACAAACGCAAAAACAAUGUGAGAAAUCUACAAGCUGCAAACAACAGAAAAUUCUAGAAAAAAAGUCACAAAAUAAUAUGUUGCUUCACAAGCAUCAUCUAGAGGCAUUGUUGAUGUCACUGACGUGACAGCUCAAACAAAACUCAAGAACACAGUUUGUUUCUGUCACACUGCUGCUCAGUGUGUGAGUUUUGAUUCACGGCAGAAACCUAGCUUCCAGCUGCUCCCGGAAUGUCCUCUGCCACAGCUGCUGGGUGUAAAGGGAUCUGCCUCUGACAUUUGCAGCAAACCUCUUGGGACUGAGAACUCACGCUCUGAGUUUGGCUGUGGACCCAUCCGUUUUUCUCUCUGGAUAAAAUGACCUAAGUGAGAGAUGCCAAGGGUGGAUGUGCUCCCAAUCCAGGAAGAUUAGGUGAGCACAUAGCCCUACCACCCUACCAUUCACCCUGGGUUGUCAUCAUAUUCUUACUGGUGCAAUAGCUUGAGCUCUCACUGAUAGUAGUUACUCUGUAAAUCUUAUCUAAGAAGUUAGCCAAGAACGGCAUUGUCCAUGAACCUCUGGAGCCUUGAGCAUUCAGAAGGUUUCCUCAUAAGUGUAGCAUGUUCCUUGUCCUUGACAGUGAGCGUCCUGUGGAGCUGCUGCCUCCUCCAGGCAUGGCCCCAAGUGACUGCUGAGGAAGGAAG